ensembl:lncRNA
GGCGUUAGUUAUUUUUAGUCUGCUUGGGUCACUCCCGUGUUCAACCAGGAUUGAAAUCACUGUGCUGCCUAAUAACUUCAGGAGGAAGGAAACCGCAGGAGACGUUAACACGGUAAUUUACAUUUGUUUGGAGGAGAAGAUUCACUCAGCGGUGCGAUUCUAUGGAGGCGACCACCUCUUGCGAAGACGGACUUCACAGAAGGAGCAGGGAGGUUCCGUUUUGGAGUUUGCACAUUAUUCCGACCCCCCUGGAUGUCACGCCAGGAUCCGGCUGCACCGUAUGUUAGAACGAAGGUUGCCUGGAAAAGAGGGAGAAGAAAUGAGACCAGCGCCAUCCCAUCAGCACAGGUUCUCCUUGGGGACGGGCAGACGGACCCCUGCCGUUCCCAUGCGUUAUCUAAAUUUCCUGAUGAAACUGGUAAAUGUACUGUUUGCAGUUUCCUUUCCUUUAGAAAAAAGUCUACAGUACAUCAGUAUAUAUGUUUUAAUAGCUUAUGUUACUGUAGUACUCAAAAUUUUUAUUUAUUUAUUUAUUUAUUUAUUUUUGUCUUUUUAGGGCUGCACCUGCAGCAUAUGGAGGUUCCCAGGCUAGGGGUCCAAUCAGAGCUGUAGCCGCCGGCCUACACCAGAGCCACAGCAAUGCCAGAUCCGAGCCGUGUCUACGACCUACACCACAGCUCAUGGCAACUUCGGAUCCUUAACCCACUGAGUGAGGCCAGGGAUCGAACCCACACCCUCAUGGUUCCUAGUAGGAUUCGUUUCCGCUGCGCCACAACAGGAACUCUUAGUACUCAGAAAUUUAACAAUUCCUUUAUUUCAUACUGUAAGGAGUCACUUAUUUCUUAAAAAAAAAAAAAAAAAAAAAAGAUGCUAAGACACAUCUGCUCUUCUGAGGCCCCCUGGAAUGGUGGCUGGACACUGGCAGGGACUUUGUGCCCCACAUUCGCUGCCGGUCUGUCAUCCAGGAACGAGGCCUGAUGCAUGGUUUGCAGGAUGGAUGAACAGAGGCCAAUGUUGGCCUGUUCACGGUCGGCUGGUCCCUCUAGAGGAAGCAGAAGCAGUGGGUGUGGGUUGCGGGGAUGUGACUGCGAGAGCCGGCGGCUCCCUGCUCCUUUUGCCUGAAGUUCCGGAUACUGUGCUGGGUCAUGAUUUCUGCUGUCAGGGCGAUUCGUUCAGGAAACUCAACUUACGUGGUGAUCAGAUUUUGGGGGGCGGGUAGGUCAAGGAUUUUUGACUGUCCUGCGUCAGGUCCUAGGCGGCUUUGUCCUACUCUAACCACCAGCUGCGAGCCAUCCCAACAACUUAGGGGUUGUUAGGUUUGUCCCCAUGAGUGCCGGGGGUUCCAGAUUCCUCAGGGCAGACCCACGGGCCGUCUGGGCUUUGGGAACCCUGACCAAAAGCAGCACCUCCACAUCCUAGACACGGGUAACAGAGACUAGUGCCUGGAAGAAGAGGAGUUGGGGUGACGGGGAGUCGUCUUUCAGGGCCAGGCAGAGGGCGGCAGGUGGGAGAGGGAUGGAGAGGAGGGACCCUCCCAGGCAGGAGGAAAGGCAGGGAGGAGGCCAGCCUCCGUUUCUUUAUCUGGGCAGUGGGCUCCUGACUGCGCCCCCGG